UGCUGGAGGUAUCAGAAGUGCGAAUGCUGACAUAAGUAACGAUAAAGCGGGUGAAAAGCCCGCUCGCCGGAAGACCAAGGGUUCCUGUCCAACGUUAAUCGGGGCAGGGUGAGUCGACCCCUAAGGCGAGGCCGAAAGGCGUAGUCGAUGGGAAACAGGUUAAUAUUCCUGUACUUGGUGUUACUGCGAAGGGGGGACGGAGAAGGCUAUGUUAGCCGGGCGACGGUUGUCCCGGUUUAAGCAUGUAGGCUGGUUGUCCAGGCAAAUCCGGAUAAUCAAGGCUGAGGUGUGAUGACGAGGCACUACGGUGCUGAAGUAACAAAUGCCCUGCUUCCAGGAAAAGCCUCUAAGCAUCAGGUAACAUCAAAUCGUACCCCAAACCGACACAGGUGGUCAGGUAGAGAAUACCAAGGCGCUUGAGAGAACUCGGGUGAAGGAACUAGGCAAAAUGGUGCCGUAACUUCGGGAGAAGGCACGCUGGUGUGUAGGUGAAG
rnacentral:rRNA from 1 species